rnacentral:snRNA from 1 species
GGAUGUGAGGGCAAUCUGGCUGCCACAUCUGUCACCCCAUUGAUUGGCAGGGUUGAUUCACAUGAUCCGGCUGGCUAGGCAGGUGUCCCUUUCCUCCUUCACUGCUCCAUGUGUGGCCCUCCUGAAGCUUGGUGGACAAGGACGACCUUCCCUGAUAGAGGAGGCCCAGUCUUCAUCAAGAGUAUACAAGUAGCUGUGCUCCCCUGCUAGAACCUCCAAACAAGCUGUCAAGGUCCAUUUGCAGGAGAACAUUAGGGUACAAGCUUCCAGGACUCCAGACGCAUCCAAAUGAGGUGCUGCACAUGGCAGUCUGCCUUCC